rnacentral:rRNA from 1 species
GUGCACGCUGGCGGCAGGCCUAACACAUGCCAGUCGAGCGGCAGCGGGUCCUUCGGGAUGCCGGCGAGCGGCGGACGGGUGAGGAAUACAUCGGAAUCUGCCCUGUCGUGGGGGAUAACCUAGGGAAACUUAGGCUAAUACCGCAUACGACCUACGGGUGAAAGCGGGGGAUCGCAAGACCUCGCGCGACAGGAUGAGCCGAUGUCCGAUUAGCUAGUUGGCGGGGUAAAGGCCCACCAAGGCGACGAUCGGUAGCUGGUCUGAGAGGAUGAUCAGCCACACUGGGACUGAGACACGGCCCAGACUCCUACGGGAGGCAGCAGUGGGGAAUAUUGGACAAUGGGCGCAAGCCUGAUCCAGCCAUGCCGCGUGGGUGAAGAAGGCCUUCGGGUUGUAAAGCCCUUUUGUCCGGGAAGAAAUCGUCUGGGCUAAUACCCCGGGCGGAUGACGGUACCGGAAGAAUAAGCACCGGCUAACUUCGUG